UACGGGGGGUGCAAGCGUUGUUCGGAAUCAUUGGGCGUAAAGAGCGUGUAGGCGGCUGAGCAAGUCAGAUGUGAAAUACAUGGGCUUAACCCAUGAAUUGCCAUUGAAACUGCCGGUCUUGAGUGGAUCAGAGGCAAGCGGAAUUCCGAGUGUAGCGGUGAAAUGCGUAGAUAUUAGGAGGAACACCAGUAGCGAAGGCGGCUCUCUGGACUGUAACUGACGCUGAGGCACGAAAGCGUGGGGAGCAAACA
rnacentral:rRNA from 1 species